CAGAGGUGCAAGCGUUAAUCGGAAUUACUGGGCGUAAAGCGCGCGUAGGUGGUUGUUAAGUUGGAUGUGAAAUCCCCGGGCUCAACCUGGGAACUGCAUUCAAACUAGACAAGCUAGAGUAUGGUAGAGGGUGGUGGAAUUUCCUGUGUAGCGGUGAAAUGCGUAGAUAUAGGAAGGAACACCAGUGGCGAAGGCGACCACCUGGACUGAUACUGACACUGAGGUGCGAAAGCGUGGGAGCAAACAGGAUU
rnacentral:rRNA from 1 species